UGCCAGCAGCCGCGGUAAUACGGAGGGUGCAAGCGUUAAUCGGAAUUACUGGGCGUAAAGGGUACGUAGGCGGUUUGAUAAGUUGGAUGUGAAAGCCCCGGGCUCAACCUGGGAACUGCAUUCAAAACUGUCAGACUAGAGUGUAUAAGAGGUUAGCGGAAUUCCAGGUGUAGCAGUGAAAUGCGUAGAUAUCUGGAGGAACAUCAGUGGCGAAGGCGGCUGACUGGUAUAACACUGACGCUGAGGUACGAAAGCGUGGGUAGCGAACGGGAUUAGAUA
rnacentral:rRNA from 1 species